UGGUGGAGUGAUUUGUCUGGUUAAUUCCGUUAACGAACGAGACCUCAGCCUACUAAAUGGUAUGUCCAAUUGUAAAAGAUUGGGCAGACUUCUUAGAGGGACUAUCUGUGUCUAACAGAUGGAGGUUUGAGGCAAUAACA
rnacentral:rRNA from 1 species